rnacentral:lncRNA from 1 species
GCGUGUAGGGGUACCACUGUGAUGUCCCAAGAAGAAGAACCAUGAAAAAAAUAUUUUGUAUUCAUGCAUGUUAUUAGAAUUUCAUGCGUAUAUGAUAUACUUGAGAUGCUUAGUUAUAAUCAUGUCGUAUGAUUAUGUUUUCAUAUCUUAGAGAUAUAAUAAGAUGCCAUGAUUAGUUGUUAUGAUUAUUAAGACACAACUAUAAUAGUGCAUCAUUGUGAUUGAUUGAAUUAUGAUAUGCUUGAAACCAUUCAAGCCCUCAUAAAAAUCAUAUU